rnacentral:misc_RNA from 1 species
GUGAGAUAAUUCCUCUUGGCUUUAGGGUCAGAUUGAAUUUUAUGUAUAUUAAAAAACAAUGUCUCUCUCUCCUCGCGUCUCUUGAGCAGCGUUUGGACCUGUGACCUUUGGAAUGGUCGUAGUAACAUAAAUGAGUGCUUUUUGUCAUUUGAUUUAUUAUCCAUCGACUGUUUUUUAGGUCUGUGGAUACUCUGGCACAGUAUCCAUCGUUAUUUGAUGAAAUAUCCUACAUAUAUUUAUAUAUCCUCUGCUCUGUUUAUUUAAUCAUCUUGUGUUAUAUAGUCAUUUGGUAGUUUUCUGACCUUGGCAAGGCUGAUUAUCUUAUCUUUUGAACUUUAUGUUUAGGGAAAGAAACUUAUGGUGAUA